rnacentral:rRNA from 1 species
CUCUUUAUGGGGUGACUGCGUACCUUUUGUAUAAUGGGUCAGCGACUUAUAUUCUGUAGCAAGGUUAACCGAAUAGGGGAGCCGAAGGGAAACCGAGUCUUAACUGGGCGUUAAGUUGCAGGGUAUAGACCCGAAACCCGGUGAUCUAGCCAUGGGCAGGUUGAAGGUUGGGUAACACUAACUGGAGGACCGAACCGACUAAUGUUGAAAAAUUAGCGGAUGACUUGUGGCUGGGGGUGAAAGGCCAAUCAAACCGGGAGAUAGCUGGUUCUCCCCGAAAGCUAUUUAGGUAGCGCCUCGUGAAUUCAUCUCCGGGGGUAGAGCACUGUUUCGGCAAGGGGGUCAUCCCGACUUACCAACCCGAUGCAAACUGCGAAUACCGGAGAAUGUUAUCACGGGAGACACACGGCGGGUGCUAACGUCCGUCGUGAAGAGGGAAACAACCCAGACCGCCAGCUAAGGUCCCAAAGUCAUGGUUAAGUGGGAAACGAUGUGGGAAGGCCCAGACAGCCAGGAUGUUGGCUUAGAAGCAGCCAUCAUUUAAAGAAAGCGUAAUAGCUCACUGGUCGAGUCGGCCUGCGCGGAAGAUGUAACGGGGCUAAACCAUGCACCGAAGCUGCGGCAGCGACACUAUGUGUUGUUGGGUAGGGGAGCGUUCUGUAAGCCUGUGAAGGUGUGCUGUGAGGCAUGCUGGAGGUAUCAGAAGUGCGAAUGCUGACAUAAGUAACGAUAAAGCGGGUGAAAAGCCCGCUCGCCGGAAGACCAAGGGUUCCUGUCCAACGUUAAUCGGGGCAGGGUGAGUCGACCCCUAAGGCGAGGCCGAAAGGCGUAGUCGAUGGGAAACAGGUUAAUAUUCCUGUACUUGGUGUUACUGCGAAGGGGGGACGGAGAAGGCUAUGUUGGCCGGGCGACGGUUGUCCCGGUUUAAGCGUGUAGGCUGGUUUUCCAGGCAAAUCCGGAAAAUCAAGGCUGAGGCGUGAUGACGAGGCACUACGGUGCUGAAGCAACAAAUGCCCUGCUUCCAGGAAAAGCCUCUAAGCAUCAGGUAACAUCAAAUCGUACCCCAAACCGACACAGGUGGUCAGGUAGAGAAUACCAAGGCGCUUGAGAGAACUCGGGUGAAGGAACUAGGCAAAAUGGUGCCGUAACUUCGGGAGAAGGCACGCUGAUAUGUAGGUGAAGUCCCUCGCGGAUGGAGCUGAAAUCAGUCGAAGAUACCAGCUGGCUGCAACUGUUUAUUAAAAACACAGCACUGUGCAAACACGAAAGUGGACGUAUACGGUGUGACGCCUGCCCGGUGCCGGAAGGUUAAUUGAUGGGGUUAGCGGUAACGCGAAGCUCUUGAUCGAAGCCCCGGUAAACGGCGGCCGUAACUAUAACGGUCCUAAGGUAGCGAAAUUCCUUGUCGGGUAAGUUCCGACCUGCACGAAUGGCGUAAUGAUGGCCAGGCUGUCUCCACCCGAGACUCAGUGAAAUUGAACUCGCUGUGAAGAUGCAGUGUACCCGCGGCAAGACGGAAAGACCCCGUGAACCUUUACUAUAGCUUGACACUGAACAUUGAGCCUUGAUGUGUAGGAUAGGUGGGAGGCUUUGAAGUGUGG